GACGAACGCUGGCGGCGUGCUUAACACAUGCAAGUCGAACGGAAAGGCCCUGCUUUUGUGGGGUGCUCGAGUGGCGAACGGGUGAGUAACACGUGAGUAACCUGCCCUUGACUUUGGGAUAACUUCAGGAAACUGGGGGUAAUACCGGAUAGGAGCUCCUGCUGCAUGGUGGGGGUUGGAAAGUUUCGGCGGUUGGGGAUGGACUCGCGGCUUAUCAGCUUGUUGGUGGGGUAGUGGCUUACCAAGGCUUUGACGGGUAGCCGGCCUGAGAGGGUGACCGGCCACAUUGGGACUGAAAUACGGCCCAGACUCCUACGGGAGGCAGCAGUGGGGAAUAUUGCACAAUGGGCGGAAGCCUGAUGCAGCAACGCCGCGUGCGGGGUGACGGCCUUCGGGUUGUAAACCGCUUUCGCCUGUGACGAAGCGUGAGUGACGGUAAUGGGUAAAGAAGCACCGGCUAACUACGUG
rnacentral:rRNA from 1 species